CCACGCCAGGGCAGCUGGCCGCGAUGGAACAGAUUUAGAUACAGCCAGAAUUAUUUAUAUAUAUAUAUAUCUUUAUAUAUAAUGUAUGUCUUCCCGAAGAGAGGGGUAGGGGACGGAUGCUCCAAGCGCAGGGAUGCGAGGCGGGUGGGCAGCUCCCGGUUGCCGGGCGCAGGUUGUUCCGCGGGGCCGCAGCCCCUGCCCGAAGGGUGCCCAGCGCUGCGCGGCCUCUCCCGCAGCCCCCGGCCGGCCCGGCACCGCGGGACGCCCCCGCAGCUUUCAAUGAAAUCUAAUUCAUAAAUUGGACAUGCUCAGACUCAGAAGACUAAUUCAUCCCGUAAAACAAACGCAUCAGUGAUUGCAGGCACCCAAACGUGACGAGCGUCUCAAUAUACCGAGGAUCCAGAGAAAACAAAUUCAUUCAGGAGCCCGAAACGUAAUUAAAACUACUGCCAAGAGAAUGAGUUGAGAGCAGGAUGUUACCAAGAUUAUUAAGUUGCUGCGGGGCUGAGGCACGGACCGCUAUAGUGAUACAUACAGAUAAUGUCAGUCUUUGGAUAACGGGAGGAAGAGCGAUUCCUGGAGGUCGCCGUCUUGCAAGCGCAAGCCUGGUAACAUCGCGCCGUGGCCGCAUCCUGCUCCCGAGAUGGCACCGGCGAGCCCGGCGGUUCUGCGGGGGGAAGGAGCGGGGCCCCGCCGGCCGCCGAGCCCCGGCAGAGCGGCCGCAAAGGGGCCGGCGGUGCCCGUACCCCUGGCACUGGCUACAGCAUCCCUGUGAUGUGUGUUCAGCACACUUUUUAUAACCAUCACCUGUACGUGCUCUAGUAAAUGCUCCUGAUGCUGAGCAGUGCUUGCUUGCAGGACCGACCGCUGCAAUGUAUUUAUUCAAUGUAGGAAGCGUUUUUUUCAUGCACAGCAUAGUACAGCAAGAACUGCUCAAUGCUAAGGAGAAGGAAAUAUAGAUAAGGGGGCUGGGGAAGCAGAACGGAGAGGGAACACACAGUAUAGAUGGAGCAGAGGGAAAGGGAAGGAAGCUGAAAUGGAAAUGAUAUGAACAAGAAUCCCUGUUGAUCCACAUGCAUCAACAACCUCCUAUUCAGCUGUAGUUACAAGCACAGCAUUCGAACAGGGAAGGGCAGGGGGUAAAUAAAAGAAGAUAUGCUUUUUAAAAAUAAAUCACUUGUUAACU